UACGUAGGGGGCUAGCGUUGUCCGGAAUCAUUGGGCGUAAAGCGCGUGUAGGCGGUCCGGUAAGUCCGCUGUGAAAGUCGGGGGCUCAACCCUCGGAUGCCGGUGGAUACUGUCGGGCUUGAGUACGGAAGAGGCGAGUGGAAUUCCUGGUGUAGCGGUGAAAUGCGCAGAUAUCAGGAGGAACACCAAUUGCGAAGGCAGCUCGCUGGGACGUUACUGACGCUGAGGCGCGAAAGCGUGGGGAGCAAACAGG
rnacentral:rRNA from 1 species